UACGAAGGGGGCGAGCGUUGUUCGGAUUUACUGGGCGUAAAGGGCGCGCAGGCGGCUCAUUUUGUCAGGCGUGAAAGCCCCGGGCUUAACCUGGGAACUGCGUUUGAUACGGAUGGGCUAGAGUUCGGGAGAGGAGAGUGGAAUUCCCAGUGUAGAGGUGAAAUUCGCAGAUAUUGGGAGGAACACCGAUGGCGCAAGCAGCCAACUGGACGAUAACUGACGCUGAGAUACGAAAGCGUGGGGAGCAAACAGG
rnacentral:rRNA from 1 species